AGACGACGACGGGUAGCCGGCCUGAGAGGGCGACCGGCCACACUGGGACUGAGACACGGCCUAGACUCCUACGGGAGGCAGCAGUGGGGAAUAUUGCACAAUGGGGGAAAMCCUGAUGCAGCGACGCAGCGUGCGGGAUGACGGCCUUCGGGUUGUAAACCGCUUUCAGCAGGGAAGAAGCGCAAGUGACGGUACCUGCAGAAGAAGUACCGGCUAACUACGUGCCAGCAGCCGCGGUAAUACGUAGGGUACGAGCGUUGUCCGGAAUUAUUGGGCGUAAAGAGCUCGUAGGUGGUUGGUCACGUCUGCUGUGGAAACGCAACGCUUAACGUUGCGCGUGCAGUGGGUACGGGCUGACUAGAGUGCAGUAGGGGAGUCUGGAAUUCCUGGUGUAGCGGUGAAAUGCGCAGAUAUCAGGAGGAACACCGGUGGCGAAGGCGGGACUCUGGGCUGUAACUGACACUGAGGAGCGAAAGCAUGGGGAGCGAACAGGAUUAGAUACCCUGGUAGUCCAUGCCGUAAACGUUGGGCACUAGGUGUGGGGGGCAUUCCACGUUCUCCGCGCCGUAGCUAACGCAUUAAGUGCCCCGCC
rnacentral:rRNA from 1 species